AUUGAACGCUGGCGGCAUGCCUUACACAUGCAAGUCGAACGGCAGCACGGGAGCAAUCCUGGUGGCGAGUGGCGAACGGGUGAGUAAUACAUCGGAACGUGCCCAAUAGUGGGGGAUAGCCCGGCGAAAGCCGGAUUAAUACCGCAUACGACCUGAGGGUGAAAGCAGGGGAUCGCAAGACCUUGCGCUAUUGGAGCGGCCGAUGUCAGAUUAGCUAGNGGUGGGGUAAAGGCCUACCAAGGCAACGAUCUGUAGUUGGUCUGAGAGGACGACCAGCCACACUGGGACUGAGACACGGCCCAGACUCCUACGGGAGGCAGCAGUGGGGAAUUUGGACAAUGGGGGCAACCCUGAUCCAGCAAUGCCGCGUGCAGGAAGAAGGCCU
rnacentral:rRNA from 1 species